rnacentral:rRNA from 1 species
GUGUCGUGAGAUGUUGGGUUAAGUCCGCACGAGCGCAACCCUCGACCUUAGUUGCCAGCAUUCAGUUGGGCACUCUAAGGUGACUGCCGGCUAAAAGUCGGAGGAAGGUGGGGAUGACGUCAAAUCAUCAUGCCCCUUAUGACCUGGGCUACACACGUGCUACAAUGGGCGGUACAAAGGGUCGCGAACCCGCGAGGGGGAGCCAAUCCCAAAAAGCCGCUCUCAGUUCGGAUUGCAGGCUGCAACUCGCCUGCAUGAAGCCGGAAUCGCUAGUAAUCGCGGAUCAGCAUGCCGCGGUGAAUACGUUCCCGGGCCUU